UGCCAGCAGCCGCGGUAAUACGGAGGGUGCAAGCGUUAAUCGGAAUCACUGGGCGUAAAGCGCACGCAGGCGGCCUGUUAAGUCAGAUGUGAAAGCCCCGGGCUUAACCUGGGAACUGCAUUUGAUACUGACAGGCUAGAGUAUGGGAGAGAGAAGUGGAAUUCCACAUGUAGCGGUGAAAUGCGUAGAUAUGUGGAGGAACAUCAGUGGCGAAGGCGACUUCUUGGCCCAAUACUGACGCUCAGGUGCGAAAGCGUGGGGAGCAAACAGGAUUAGAUA
rnacentral:rRNA from 1 species